ensembl:misc_RNA Y_RNA Y RNA
GGCUGGUCCAAAGGUAGUGAGUUAUCUCACUUGAUUGUUCACAGUCAGUUACAGAUUGAACUCCUUGUUCUACUACUUUCCCCCCUCCUCACUACUGCACUUGACUAGUCUUAA